rnacentral:rRNA from 1 species
UGGUCAAGUUAUUAAGGGUGCAGGGCGGAUGCCUUGGCACUAGGAGCCGAUGAAGGACGUGAUAAGCUGCGAUAAGCUUCGGGGAGUUGCACGUAAACUUUGAUCCGAAGAUUUCCGAAUGAGGAAACUCACUUAGAGUAAUGUCUAAGUAUCAUUAAGUGAAUACAUAGCUUAAUGAGGGGAACUCAGGGAACUGAAACAUCUAAGUACCUGAAGGAAGAGAAAGAAAUUCGAUUCCGUAAGUAGCGGCGAGCGAACGCGGAUUAGCCCAAACCAAUAAAGUUUUCUUUAUUGGGGUUGCGGACAUAUCAUAACGAAGAGGUAUCGUAAUUGAAGAGGUUUGGAAAGACCCACCACAGAAGGUAAUAGUCCUGUAUGUUAAACGAGAAGACUUCAGAUAUGAUCCAGAGUACCACGGGACACGUGAAACCCUGUGGGAAGCAGGAGGGACCACCCUCCAAGGCUAAAUACUACCUAGUGACCGAUAGCGUAUAGUACCGUGAGGGAAAGGUGAAAAGAACCCCGGGAGGGGAGUGAAAUAGAACCUGAAACCCUGCACUUACAAGCUGUGGAAGCACAUUUCUUGUGUGACCGCGUACUUUUUGUAGAACGGGCCAACGAGUUACGUUAAGUAGCAAGGUUAAGCACUUAAGGUGUGGAGCCGUAGCGAAAGCGAGUUUUAACUGAGCGUUCAGUUACUUGACGUAGACCCGAAACCGGGCGACCUACCCAUGAGCAGGAUGAAGCGAAAGUAAAAUUUCGUGGAGGUCCGAACCCACGAGCGUUGAAAAGCUCGGGGAUGACUUGUGGGUAGCGGUGAAAUUCCAAUCGAGCCCGGAGAUAGCUGGUUCUCCCCGAAAUAGCUUUAGGGCUAGCCUCAAGGUGAGAGAUACGGAGGUAGAGCACUGAAUGUCCUAGGGGGUAUUGCACCU